CGUGUUAAACCAAGACAGUGCUCGCUGUUCCUCUCAAAAAAAAAAAGAAGGCAGAGCUCGCUGUUAGACCCAUGGAGGCGCCGGCGACUGGUUCCACCCGCGGCGAAGACAUGAAGGCCGACGGCUUGGAAUCCCUUCUAGAUGCAGUCGACAGGUGCGCAAGCCUGUUUGCCUCGGUCGUCCUUUUGCGUUUUAUUUGUGCAUUAUUCGCGAUUUUGUCCGCGGUAAAGCAACUCUGAGACGAUUCGAUACCAUGUUUCCACUGCGAGAGGAAUUCGUUGCAGAGCAACCAAAUCCGGCGCCCCUCGCUGUACUGCCGCGGGGUGGAGCCAUUCAGGAAUUGUGCAUCCGGCUGCGUACAGGACGUGGGGAACCGCAGAUCGCACAGAAGUGUCUGCCAGGCCAGGGGAAGGAAGAACACUACCCCGACGCAGUCCGCGCAGUCAACCGGGAAGGUUAACCCAGAGGCUCCAGGCUGUACGAAGAGGUUGAGGCUAGUCAGUGCUUCACUAGACAGAACCCCAUGCCUGUUGAGGAUGAGCACGUUGGAGAAAUUAAUUAGGCAGUAUGCAGAAGCUUUCUAAGUGUGUGAUAAAGCCUGAGUUGGGGAUAAGCUUUGACUCGCUAGGUGAACACUUCUACAACCUAUGUUCGAGACCAGAACAGAGCCAUGGAGGACGCUAUCAGUAAAGUGUUCCCGGAUACUUCCAUAGUUACAUGAAAAUGUUUAGAAUGCACGCGGACUUUCUUAAUUUUGGAUUUAGACUGGACUGCAAGAUUAGGGUACUGAGCCCGAAGGUAGUUUGCAAACUCCAUCGGUCCUAGUUCCAGGAUAGGCGAAGCGACAUUCGAAUUUGUGACUUGUGGGAGUGGUGGGUGAAUGCCGGCACUUGCUGUACAGGGGAGACUAAAAAGAAACGAAGAAAGUACAUCAUAACGAUAAAGCAGAGGACUAAACCAGUGACCAUAAGAUUGGCAACUUCGACAAGCAGGACGACAACAGCAUGAGAUACGUCGUACACUCCUACUGGCACCACGGCUGGCUUAACGACCUGAUUAACUAGGGCGGGCUGAACUGAUUUGUAGCAGGAGCGAUACUCGCGGCGGGGUGUGCGUGAUGGACAGCUGCUGGCACCUGAGCCUGCGCGGUCUGAUUGGGAAUAGCCUUUCGACAUAGGCAUAAGCAACUUGGUUAAUCAAGCGGGAUUGUUUGGUGGCCGUCAGUACUUCCGCCGAAGUUACGGCUCGGGAAUGGUUCAGGUCCGUGCACCAAACUGCUGUUCCGGCGAAACAGUGAGGC